rnacentral:rRNA from 1 species
AGACGAAUUUUGAUCCGCAGAUUUCUGAAUGGGGAAACCCAAUCAAUUUAUUGAUUAUUGCAUAUUAAAUACAUAGAUAUGUAAAGCAAACCUGGUGAACUGAAAUAUCUCAGUAGCUAGAGGAAAGGAAAUCAAAAGAGACUCCGUUAGUAGUGACGAGCGAACGCGGACCAGGCCAGUGGUUUAUAAUUAAAAAUUAGAAUACUUUGGAAAGAGUAGCCAUAGGUGGUGAUAGCCCAGUAUAAGUAAAAAAAUUAUAAAUCCUUGAGUAGGGCGGGACACGUGAAAUCCUGUUUGAAGAUGGGGGGACCAUCCUCCAAGCCUAAGUACUCCUUAACGACCGAUAGUGGACAAGUACCGUGAGGGAAAGGUGAAAAGAACCCCGGGAGGGGAGUGAAAUAGACCCUGAAAUCGAAUGCUUACAACCAGUUGGAGCCUUAUAUUUAUACCUGGGAGCAAUCUCAGCAUAUGUUUAUUAAG